rnacentral:rRNA from 1 species
UUAACACAUGCAAGUCGAACGAUGAAGCCAGCUUGCUGGUGGAUUAGUGGCGAACGGGUGAGUAACACGUGAGUAACCUGCCCUUGACUCUGGGAUAAGCCUGGGAAACUGGGUCUAAUACCGGAUAUGACUCCUCAUCGCAUGGUGGGGGGUGGAAAGCUUUUUGUGGUUUUGGAUGGACUCGCGGCCUAUCAGCUUGUUGGUGAGGUAAUGGCUCACCAAGGCGACGACGGGUAGCCGGCCUGAGAGGGUGACCGGCCACACUGGGACUGAGACACGGCCCAGACUCCUACGGGAGGCAGCAGUGGGGAAUAUUGCACAAUGGGCGAAAGCCUGAUGCAGCGACGCCGCGUGAGGGAUGACGGCCUUCGGGUUGUAAACCUCUUUCA